rnacentral:rRNA from 1 species
AACGAACGCUGGCGGCAGGCCUAACACAAGCAAGUCGAACGCUCCAGCAAUGGAGAGUGGCAGACGGGUGAGUAACACGUGGGAACCUUCCCUUUGGUUCGGAAUAGCCCAGGGAAACUUGGGGUAAUACCGGAUAAGCCCUUACGGGGAAAGAUUUAUCGCCGAAGGAUGGGCCCGCGUCGGAUUAGCUAGUUGGUGGGGUAACGGCCUACCAAGGCGACGAUCCGUAGCUGGUCUGAGAGGAUGAUCAGCCACACUGGGACUGAGACACGGCCCAGACUCCUACGGGAGGCAGUAGUGGGGAAUAUUGGACAAUGGGCGCAAGCCUGAUCCAGCCAUGCCGCGUGAGUGACGAAGGUCUUCGGAUUGUAAAGCUCUUUUGGCGGGGACGAUAAUGACGGUACCCGCAGAAUAAGCCCCGGCUAACUUCGUGCCAGCCGCCGCGGUAA